GCUCGCGGGUGGAGCGCGACAGGGGGCGAUACGCGCGGCGGUGUCGGAGGACACGAGCUUCUCGCCAGAGGGUGAGGUCGGCCCGGCGGGGUCGGCGCCGUGACCGGUGACAAGUGACAGGCGAGUGCGAGCCGCGGGACGACGCCAAGGAUCGGCCGGACCGAGUGAGGCUCCAAGGGCAGGCGGCGCAACGAUCGGCUUUACGAACGACAUAGGCGCGACCUUCAGGUUUUCAGGCUCGUUGGCUCACUGCCGAGACGGUCCUGUGCCCGGCGGCUGCACUGACUGUGGACUUCGACCUGUGGACGUCGGCCUGACACCUACCCGGCCCCACUGCGCCCGACGCGUGCCGGACACGCUGAACCCGAGCGUCUGGUCUCGGUGCGAGCCUGCCCGGGCGCGAUCCGACUGAGUGCGCGCUAGGACGCCACUGGUGACGAGCGUCCCAUCCCGGCCGUCGAGUGAAAGGCCUCGGUGUUGGGGCGGACAAAGGAGCGGCCGAGUGGAAGGCGCUCUGUGAACGCCGGGAGCUUUUCAUCAAGUUUCAGAGGGCCAUGUGCUGACGGGCGUCAUGCAGGCGUCGGGGUUCGUACUGUGGGUGCUGCUGCUGCUGCGGGUGGUGGAGCAUGGCGCCGCGCACCGCAUCAAGGUCUACUGGAACGCCACCAA